GGCCGUUCUGUCACUCGAAGCCACAACAGGCCUUGCUGCCCCUAGGCGCCGGUUGCGGCGGUGGUUACGACGCCGACGGGCAAGUAGCGGCCACCCAACAUCGAGCCCCCGGGGCGCGCGUAGCGGGUGCUGACCAUGGAGCCUGUGAAGCCGAGGCAAAUCUGGAACGGGAGAGCGGCUACACACCCCUACCUAGCGUGCCAAAUGUCGAAAUCAAGGCUCCGCGGGCCGGAGGAAAGGUUCGAACACUAGGGUGCACUCGCUCUUCUACCCUGUUCUACCUCACGACUUCACGACGACUCUACGGUAGCGCGAGCUAAGGCGACGAGCUAGAACACGCGGGAGUUUACCCAGGUUCGAGCCACCUCAUGGUGUAAAUGCCUACUCUGGCUUCUGUUGGGAUUGCGUGAGGUGCAAGACACGUACAAAGGUGGGUUCUGGCCCUAGCCCGAGG
rnacentral:lncRNA from 1 species